rnacentral:rRNA from 1 species
AUUGAACGCUGGCGGCAUGCCUUACACAUGCAAGUCGAACGGCAGCACGGGUGCUUGCACCUGGUGUCGAGUGGCGAACGGGUGAGUAAUACAUCGGAACAUGUCCUGUAGUGGGGGAUAGCCCGGCGAAAGCCGGAUUAAUACCGCAUACGAUCUACGGAUGAAAGCGGGGGACCUUCGGGCCUCGCGCUAUAGGGUUGGCCGAUGGCUGAUUAGCUAGUUGGUGGGGUAAAGGCCUACCAAGGCGACGAUCAGUAGCUGGUCUGAGAGGACGACCAGCCACACUGGGACUGAGACACGGCCCAGACUACUACGGGAGGCAGCAGUGGGGAAUUUUGGACAAUGGGCGAAAGCCUGAUCCAGCAAUGCCGCGUGUGUGAAGAAGGCCUUCGGGUUGUAAAGCACUUUUGUCCGGAAAGAAAUCCUUGGCCCUAAUACGGUCGGGGGAUGACGGUACCGGAAGAAUAAGCACCGGCUAACUACGUG